rnacentral:sRNA from 1 species
GAAUAGCCCCGAUAGCAGUGGAAAUCCUCCCGAUUUUUCUUCGGGAGAUUGCAACGUAUAGCGGGAGAAUAC